UUGAUGGGGAGUAACAGCUGGAAACGACUGCUAAUACCGAAUACGCUCAUGAUGAACUUUGUGAGGAAAGGUGGCCUCUGCUUGCAAGCUAUCGCAUAGAGAUGAGUCCGCGUCCCAUUAGCUAGUUGGUGGGGUAACGGCCUACCAAGGCAACGAUGGGUAGCCGAUCUGAGAGGAUGAUCGGCCACACUGGAACUGAAACACGGUCCAG
rnacentral:rRNA from 1 species